rnacentral:lncRNA from 1 species
UCUCUAUACAUAGGGACAUCACCCUCGGCCGUAGCCCGAGUAGCAAGGUGAUCGACUAGCACGCUCCUAGUAGUCCCUAGCUAGGCGCGACUCCCUUGCCACGAUCCCUAGCCUCUCCUGUAUCAGGCUCUGUAAAAACAACCAUAAAAAGGGCGUGAGAACUAUUAACAAUAGUUCCCAGUGGGUAAGCCGCCAGCCUCGGCGAAUUACACCACUAGGCUCAUGAUG